rnacentral:rRNA from 1 species
AGAAUCAACGCUGGCGGCGUGCCUAACACAUGCAAGUCGAACGAGAAAGGGGAGCAAUCCCUGAGUACAGUGGCGCACGGGUGAGUAACACGUGACUAACCUACCCUGGAGUGGGGAAUAACUGAGGGAAACCUUAGCUAAUACCGCAUAAUACCUACGGGUCAAAGGAGCAAUUCGCUUCAGGAGGGGUCGCGGCCGAUUAGCUAGUUGGCGGGGUAAUGGCCCACCAAGGCAAUGAUCGGUA